GACGAACGCUGGCGGCGUGCUUAACACAUGCAAGUCGAGCGGUAAGGCUCUUCGGGGUACACGAGCGGCGAACGGGUGAGUAACACGUGGGUGACCUGCCCUUAGCUCUGGGAUAAGCCUGGGAAACUGGGUCUAAUACCGGAUAUGACCUCAUGACGCAUGUUGUGGGGUGAAAGCCUUGUGCGGCUAGGGAUGGGCCCGCGGCCUAUCAGCUUGUUGGUGGGUGAUGGCCUACCAAGGCGACGACGGGUAGCCGGCCUGAGAGGGCGACCGGCCACACUGGGACUGAGACACGGCCCAGACUCCUACGGGAGGCAGCAGUGGGGAAUCUUGCGCAAUGGGCGAAAGCCUGACGCAGCGACGCCGCGUGAGGGAUGACGGCCUCGGU
rnacentral:rRNA from 1 species